rnacentral:rRNA from 1 species
AUUGAACGCUGGCGGAAUGCUUUACACAUGCAAGUCGAGCGGCAGCGCGGGGGCAACCCUGGCGGCGAGCAGCGAACGGGUGAGUAAUGCAUCGGAACGUACCCAGUAAUGGGGGAUAACUGUCCGAAAGGACAGCUAAUACCGCAUACGCCCUGAGGGGGGUAAAGCGGGGGUAUCGCAAGACCUCGCGUUAUUGGAGCGGCCGAUGUCGGAUUAGCUAGUUGGUGGGGUAAAGGCCUACCAAGGCGACGAUCCGUAGCUGGUCUGAGAGGACGACCAGCCACACUGGAACUGAGACACGGUCCCAGACUCCUACGGGAGGCAGCAGUGGGGAAUUUUGGACAAUGGGGGUCAACCCUGAUCCAGCCAUUCCGCGUGAGUGAAGAAGGCCUCGGGUUGUAAAGCUCUUUCGGCA